rnacentral:antisense_RNA from 1 species
AGAGAGGCACUAUGCCUCCCAGCCGGCGACACGAUACAGCGUUGCAGAACCGACGCCGACGCAGCCGCCAUCGCUGAGACCACUGCCAGUCAUGCGGCUCCGCCCCUGCGUUGCUGCGCGGGGCCGCGCACGCAAAUACGCAGGCGCGCGCGGGAGCACGCCCGGGAGCGCGCUUGCGCAGCAUGGCUGGCCCGCUCUCUGAGGAGUUUUCAAUACUUUGGGGUCAAGUUUGAGGCAGUUGUAACUGUAUUGAGUUUAGUUUUGCUAAAAAUGGUAUUCUACGUGUGUCAGCCUCGUAUGGACUUCUGUAAUGACUAAUGGAUAUGUUUAUAUCCUGAGCAUUUGCUGUAGAAAUUUUAAAUGCAAUCCCAAAACUCAAGAUUACCUUAUUUGGAGAAAUAUUAGUGUUACUAUGUUUAAAAUUUAAUAGAUAGAACCAUAUUUUAUCUUUCACUUUGGGACUCGCACAGGAUGUUUGCAGCUCUUGAUAUACAGGAACUAGAACGUGUCUUUUAAGAGCAUGCGGUUUUAUAAUUAUGUGGAAGUAUGCUACGCAAGGGAAAAAAGGCUCUUGCUAGUGUAAAGGGUCUUUAUAAACACAAACCGCAAGGAACCUGGGAUCUGACAGCUGUUGGAGGAAUGCCUGUGAGGAAGGAGGAGGAACAGAAGAAUACUUUGAUGUCUUACAUGGUACAACCAAACUUAAGUGAAAUAGAGCUGUGAGGACA